UGAAGAGGAACACACCGGCGGGAGAACACAGAACACGCACCCUUUCUUUUAGUCACCCUGGAGGCCUCGGAGAAGGCGGUUUCAGUGAUCCGUGAAGAGACCCCGAGUCUUUUACAUCCCGGAGAAUGACAAGAGAGCGAGUACCUGGGCGACGUUUACGUUCUGGGAUUUCGGGAGAUGCGGUUUUCUGCACGCCAGGGGCCAAGCCUGAGACGUAGAUGGACGGCAGGGAUAGGAGCUCUCUCCGCGCCACAAACGCCCCUGCUCAUACCUGGGUUCCUUGAUUUUCCUGCCUAUAUAACCCAGCCUCCCAUGGCCGGGCUCUGAGCUCUCAUUCUGCGGACUGGGACAAAGGGGUUAACUGUGAUGCGCUUUGUAUAACCCCAGGAUUCUGCACUUGCCCAAGGGCGAGGUGCAAAUCAAAAACUACGCACAACUGAACACCGAGAUCAGGUGAGUCCUGAGUGUCUCACGACAUAAAAUCCUUACGAUUUUAACAAGAGUUGUAUUUGUGCUAGCACUGUUAACUGACAAACGCAUGCCAGAUCCCAUCUGUCUUUAGCUCAAUGUGUGACGUUAGACACGUCGUUUUGCUCUUCAACUUUCUUAUUUGGAAAAAAAACAAGUGUUCUAGAUUUGCAGAGGACAUUUUCGGAGCUAAGUUCCAGUAGCUAUACUGUAAGUUGAUUUCUUGGGCAGUUCUGUUGGUGAGGAAAGAGGGCAAAUUGAGAAAUGAACAAACACAGAAGUUGCAAAAGCCCUGUGACUUACAGCACAGGACAAGUCUACAAACCCUGCCAUGCUACACUAAGCUCUAAUUGUUUUAACACCAGCUUACUCAGACCCGAUGAUCCAAGAUAAGACCAAAGCCAAACGGAUCCAGCAACUCUGCGCAGAUCUUCAUGUUCCAGCAGCUAAGUUCCACUGAAUAAACCUAUGAUUCGCCUAGUUUAGAAAUUCUGGCCGUGCGCGGUGGCUCACGUCUGUAAUCCCAGCACUUUCGGAGGCCGAGGCGGGCGGAUCACAAGGUCAGGAGACCGAGACCAUCCUGGCUAACACGGCGAAACUCCGUCUCUACUAAAGAUACAAAAAAAAUUAGCCGGGCGUGGCGGCGGGCGCCUGUAGUCCCAGCUACUCUGGAGGCUGAGGCAGGAGAAUGGCGUGAAUCCUGGAGGCGGAGCUUGCAGUGAGCCGAGAUCGCGCCACUGCACUCCAGCCAAGACGACAGAGCAAGACUCCGUCUCAAAAAAAAAAAAAAAAAAAAAAGAAAAAGAAAAAGAAAAGAAAAGAAAAGAAAAAGAAAAAGAAAUUCUGUCCAGUCCCUCCUGAGAAGGACCUUACUAACUUUCCCCCUAAAAGUGUCCUAUGAAUAGCUCCAGUCCCCAAACCCUUUAAAUUCUGGUCUCUGACUCACCCUUGUUUUAGGCAGUACUGGGACUCCACAGAGGUACGGCUCUUUGCUCAGCAAGUUUAAUAAAUCCAAGGAUCCCGACUCAGAUUGAAAAAGCAGAGGAUGGUCACUGCCUUCCAGGUCUGAGGCUGUCUCCCAGAAACUUCAUUCCUCGCUUCGCCUUGGUUCUCCAUCACUUUCUGAGUCCUACAGGAGGAAAGUGCUAUUGAAGAUGAGGCGCGUAUGGCGUGAAGUUCUGGGGCUGGGAGAAGCUGCCCCGCUACUUCCGGGUGGCCUUGCCUGCAGGGAGCAGUUUGUAUUCCCCGUUGUUUCUCCUGUUGACGACAUCUGUGCCUCUUAUCUGGGAGAAGAUCAGAGGAAACUGCCGCCUCCCCCAAGCACGUGUUUUACUGCUCCCCAUGUAAGAGUCUUGUUGCCCCUGCUUCCAUCCUCCCAUCUUUUCCACUCCUGCCACAGGUUUGGCACUUCUAGCUACUCAGGUCUUAAUGCAAAUUUCCCGUCUUUAGACAAGUACAGCUAAAAGUGAUGCCCACACGAUCUCUCAGUUCCUACUACAUCUUCACAAAUAUCGUCUCCUCCAGAAAGUAUGUCUUUAAGAUACUGGUUUGUUUUUCUCUCCCCUAGAGUGGGAGCUUCCUGAGUACCGAAACGCUGUCUAUGUACACUGUGUUCAACUCGCUUCAUCCCCAUGUGUAGAGUUAAAGUUCUGUAAAAUACGGUUACUGCCUUGAACAGAUAAGGAAACAGGGAGAUCAAAGACAGAGCAAUACUUAAAAACAUUAUCCUGCCACAUUUCUAAAAUCUUAAUAAUAGCAUUCACUAAUGUUUUUGGUUUUUCUUUGUGCUUUCUCCAUAUCCCCUUAUCAUUAUUAUUAUUAUUUUACAUUUGGCUGACCAUUUUACACUUCUUUUUCAAAUGACCAAUCAGAUUUUGCAAUUUUCUAGUUAAUUCCUGUGUUUCCUUCACCAUUCUAUUUUCUUUUUUUUUCUUUUUCUUUUUUUUUUUUCGGGCGGCUUCUUCUUCUUCUUCUUCUUCUUCUUCUUCUUCUUCUUCUUCUUCUUACUUCUUAUAUUUAAUGCACUGAUUUCUUCUAAUGUUUUGUAACUUGGGUAUUCAAGGUGUAAUUUAAAAUGAGAAAGCAGUUUCUACAGAAUCCUUAGAAAUAUGUCAUUAUAAGUCCCCAUUUUCAUUAUAUUCUAAGGAGCUUGAAGAUAUACUUUUGAUUCUUUUUAAACUGUGCAUUCGAGAAUUAAUCUCUUCUUGUUUACUUUUAUGUUCAGUCUUUCAAUGUUAUUUUCUAAUUUUUGUGUAUCAUUUUAUUUAUCAACACAUAAAUAUAUACAUUCACAUAAGUAUACGAGUUAUAUAUACAUGUAUUUAUGAACGGCAGCUGAACCACACAUUAGUGCUAAUAUUGGUGACUAAAAGUUGGAGAACCAGACAUUAUGUACCUCAUAAAGCGAAGCAAUGGAAAGUGCACAAGCCCACCUAUCAAAUUGUCUUGUUAAAAGAUUUGAAGCUGAAUCUAAGUGAGCCUCUACUUGUAACUACCAGUUUACAAGAAAUAGAGUAGAUUAAAAAACAUGUCAAGGGGCAGGAAAUAGAUACAAUGAAAUAAAUACAACAUAGAGGUGUUUCUAAGGAUAAAAGGCCCAGUUCCUUCAACAAUUAACUGGCAUUAACUCUUUAUGAUACUAUAAUGAUAAAUAUAUGUCAUUAUAUAUUUGUUAAAAAAAAAAAACCCAGGAUGUAUAACACAAAGAGCAAACUAUAAUGUAAACUGUGGACUUCAGUUAACAAUAAUGUAUUACUAAUUACUGGUUUACCAGUUGUAACAAGUGUACCAUACUGAUGCAAGAUGUUAAUAAUAGGGAAAAUUGUAAGAGAGGGAGAAUGAUGGAGUUUAUGGAAACUCUAUCUAUUCUGAUCAAUUUUUCUUUAAACCCAGAACUUCUCUAAAAAAUAAUGUCUAUCAAUUUAAAAAAAAAGUCUAUCAAUUUAAAAAAAUAAUAUCCAUAAAAGAAAGACCAGGGACCUUUUAUGGAUGAAAAGAGUCUUAAAAAACAUAAAAAUCUGUAGAUUUUACUUUAUUAUUUAUAAUCAGCCAUUAAGAGAAAUUUUUUUUGUAUGGGUGACAAUCAGAAAAAAAAGUUAAUAUUAGAUCAUAUUUAUGAUCUAUUACCAAUUUAUUAACAACAAGUACAUACACACAUGCAAAACACGGCCCUAAAAUGUCCUAGUUCUCUCAAGCUAUUGAUUUCAUCCUUAUCUCUGCUGCUGAGUUCAAGAAAGUGAAAUGUGUAAUGGGUAUCUCUCCUUUCCAACCUUCCUUCCAGUUCACAACCUAGUGCUGUCCACUUGCAUGGGAUGUUUCUUUUCCAUCACAAUGCUCUGAGAUAACGAAGUCGAGGGAAGUUUGUGCAGCCCUCCAGACCCUCCAGAUUUCAAAGGAAAGCCCACCGCUGCUGGUCUGGGGGAGCUGAUGGCCUAUUCAUGGAUGAGAUGGACUAAGGACAGUGGGAAGCACAAUGGACCAACAGUAUUGUUGGAGGGGACUGCGUGAGGAAGCAGGAGCCUAAACAACACUCUCCAGAUACUGCGUGAACACUGUC
rnacentral:lncRNA from 1 species